UAAUUGUUUGAUCCUGGCUAUAAUUUUUAUGUUUUAUUUAAAAUAUGCAUGUAAUAAUUUAGUGUAAUAAAAAAUAUUAAAAAUUUCAUUAUCACUCGCAGCAUAAAAUAUUAAACAAUAAAUUAAUGUUUGAUUUAAUAAAUAAACUGAUUUGGCUAAAGUUUGUGCCAGCAGCUGCGGUUAUACUUCUAAAUCAAUAAAAAUAAAUUAGUUAGUAGUUAAUAAAUAGUUUAUUAUUAUUUUAUUGUGUUUUAAUAAAAAGUGAAAUUAUUAUUAAAUAUAAAAUAUUAUAAUAAAUAAAUGAUUAUGAAGCUAUGAAAAUUAAAGCAAAAACUAGGAUUAGAUACCCUACUAUUUUUAAUUUAAAAUUAAUAUACUUAAAUACUAAAAGCUAUGUUCUUUAAAUUUAAAGGAUUUGGCGGUUGUUUAGUCUAGUUAGAGGAACCUGCUUAUUAAACGAUAAACCUCGCAAUAUCUUACCUACUUUAUUACAGUUUGUAUACCGUCAUUAUCAGAUUACUUUCAAAGAAAAAGUGAUUAUUGUAUGUUUAUACAUUAAAUAUUAGAUCAAGGUGCAGCUUAUAAGUAGGUUUAAGUGGGUUACAAUGAAUUUUAUUUAUUACGGAGAAUAAAUUUAAAUAUUUAUUUGAAGGAGGAUUUAAUUGUAAAUUUAAUUUAAUAAGAUAAAUUGAUAUUAGCUCUAAAUUAUGUACAUAUCGCCCGUCGCUUUCACCUUUAAAAUGAAAUAAGUCGUAACAAAGUAGAUGUACCGGAAGGUGCAUCUAGAUAUAA
rnacentral:ncRNA from 1 species